CUAAGAAUCUUCCGCAAUGGGGGAAACCCUGACGGAGCGACGCCGCGUGGACGAUGAAGGCCGUAAGGUUGUAAAGUCCUUUUGCAGGUGAGGAAUAAGCCGGGGAGUGGAAUGCCUUGGUGAUGACUUUAGCCUGCGAAUAAGCCCCGGCCAAUUACGUGCCAGCAGCCGCGGUAAUCCGUCUGGGGCGGGCGUUGUUCGGAGUUAUUGGGCGUAAAGGGCGUGUAGGCGGCUCGAGAAGUCUGGUGUGAAAUCGCAGGGCUCAACCCUGCGGGUGCGCUGGAAACUGACGUGCUUGAGUCCCGGGGGGGAAGCUGGAAUUCCUGGUGUAGGAGUGAAAUCUGUAGAGAUCAGGAAGAACACCGGUGGCGAAGGCGAGCUUCUAUUCGAGGACUGACGCUGAGGCGCGAAAGCGUGGGGAGCAAACAG
rnacentral:rRNA from 1 species